CGGUAAUACGUAGGGUGCAAGCGUUAAUCGGAAUUACUGGGCGUAAAGCGUGCGCAGGCGGUUAUGCAAGACAGAUGUGAAAUCCCCGGGCUCAACCUGGGAACUGCAUUUGUGACUGCAUAGCUAGAGUACGGUAGAGGGGGAUGGAAUUCCGCGUGUAGCAGUGAAAUGCGUAGAUAUGCGGAGGAACACCGAUGGCGAAGGCAAUCCCCUGGACCUGUACUGACGCUCAUGCACGAAAGCGUGGGGAGCAAACGGGAUUAGAUACCCUGGUAGUCCACGCCCUAAACGAUGUCAACUGGUUGUUGGACGGCUUGCUGUUCAGUAACGAAGCUAACGCGUGAAGUUGACCGCCUGGGGAGUACGGCCGCAAGGUUGAA
rnacentral:rRNA from 1 species